UUUUCACGGGAGGCGCUAAAUCCUGAGGGGUAUCAUUCGUUGUGUUCGUACGCCUCGGCGGCGGUGGCUAUGAAUGUAGUGCCCUGGUCAGCGCAUGAAGACAUCAAUUGUUCUCAGUCGUCGGUUUCACGCUGUCGUAGGUGGACGUGUGUGUGUUGUGCUCUUGUGUUUGCAGGCGCACUGUCAAUAAAGGAUCAUCAUCAUCAUUAUUAUUAUUAUUUAUAAUAUUAUAUAUAUAUAUUGCAUGUUAUGAAAGUAAAAUAAUAAAAUGUGGACGACAGAUUACAAGAAAGUUAAGAAAAACUAGUUUAUUUGUGGCACAGUCUGCAUCCGGACAAAAAGGACCUUUUUGUCCUGAGCUGUGAGCUCGUCAAGUCACCAAGGCAGCAGGCAGGAAAAAAAAUUGUUUCCUAACACUAAGUUUUUCAGGUUUCAGGUUUACUGCUCUAUCAUCAAUUGGGAAUAAGCCAGUCAAGCAAAGAGCAAACAGGUGAUGCUUGCACUAUAGCUGCACCUGCGUACGAUACUACAAGUCAGGUUGAACCAAAGUCUGAUGCCAUUCAGUGCACUGGCGUGAUAAAAACCGAGCAGGUUGAAUGCAUUGACGGCACUGAAGCGUAUGGUUGUCCAAAAGAUGAGGUUCCAUCACCUGAAACAAAAUGGUUUACGGCACAAAGCACAUUCCUGGUGCAAGAAGGAAGACCUCACAGGUGACAGAUCGCACAUGCAGCUAUUGUGCAGCAGCUGUCUCCAAUCUGUGGCUGAGCACUAGUUCUGGACCCCAAGGUGUGUCUCCACACGUCUACCUUUGAUCUCACUGCGCUUGGAAAAAAAUCCCGCAAGUCAUCUCUUGGAACCAGUUUUCAGAUUCUCAAGGAGUAGAUGCUGCCAUCGCGAGUCCAUCCAUUUUUCUCCCAGGAACAGUGAGCACACCUUCCCGGUGUCUGUUACACUUGGAAGACUGCCGGCAGCUGUGCUGAGGAGCAAGGUUGCGAGAUGAGAGACAGAUUGAGGAUUCCAUCACACCAUACUUCUCAGGACUAUAAAUAGGGCUGAGUGCUGAUAAACAUCGUAUAACUGGCCACAACAUCUGGGUAUCGGCUGUUGCUUGUAGCUACACAUCCUGAAGAUUACAUCGUCAACUUGACUACCAGGGCACCUCCCAGCAAGCUCUGAUGUCCAGUGUUCAGCUGCCACUUACGAAGAAUGCUGGACCAAGAAGAGCAAUGAGAUCUACAAUAACAACGGAGGGAUCAUGGGAAAGUUUUGGAUAGUCUUGGUGAACUACGAGUCAAUCAAAGGCUUCAUAGGCACCGGAAGCAACCUUCUCAUCGCUGACUAAACAGGAAUUGCAGUGGCCAUCCACGGAGGCAACGUCCAAAAGAGGCUGGAGCAGUAUUUUUGUAUUUAUUUAUUUAUUUUACCCUCAAGGCCCGACGGGCAAUACAGAAGGGAGUGGUUAAAAAUAAACAAUAAAUACAAUGUGGAACAUUAAGAAAUUACAGGAACGAUUAGUAUAUCAGUAACACCAGAAAGCUAGGUUACAUAAUAACAAACUAAAAAAACAACAUGAUAUUACACGUGAUAAUACAGCUUACAAUGAAGAAAAACCUGCUUUGCAUUAUGGUGCAGUGUUAGAUAUGGCACGAUAAAAUUGAGAGUGAUCCCUGAUGUCCGUACGCGAUUCGGAAAGGCGGUUCCACUCUCCUGAUGUGCGAAAAAUUAAAUGACUGAUGACGCGCUUCCGUUUGACGUGAUGUAAUUCCAACCUGUGCAGGAUGAUAUGUAUGAUGGUGAAAGUAGUAGAUCAUUGCUUAAGUAUGGUAUGUGAUGAAAGAUUUUGUGAAACAACGAAAGACUCAGAAUCUUACAGCGAGUUGCGAGAGGGGGAAAUUGUCUUUCAUUGAUGUCACGCUUGCUGCGCGAUUAUAAUUUCGGUGGAUGAAAUGCGCUGCAUUAUUUUGGAUGAGCUCGAUUGAGUUAAUAAGAGAAAUGGAGCAGGGGUCCCAUAUUGAUGCAGCGUAGUCAAGCUUACUGCGUGUCUUACACAGUGUUAGUUUUAUAGAACUGAGGGCGUUUGAGAAGUUGCGACAGAGGUAACCUAGCAUACAGUUGGCAUUACUAAUUAUUGUACUUGUGUGUUGUGACCAGGUAAGAGAUGAAUUUAUAUUGACACCAAGGUGCCGAUAUGAUGAAACAGGUUCAAGUAUGGUAUUGUUAAGGUAGUAGGAAGGUGCUAAAGUAUUAGUUUGAGAGACACUUAAAGCUUUACAUUUGCUAGUAUUUAGUUCCAUUAGCCACGUGUUACAUCAGUUGGAGACUGCUGUUAGGUCAUUCUGCAGCAUAACAGAGUUCUGACUGUUGUUAAUUUCACGGAAAUUACGCAGUCAUCAGCAAAUAGGUGGGCGUUACGGGAGACACAAUCCGAGAGAUCAUUAAUAUACAGUAAAACCUCCGAAGCCAGAUACCUCCCUAUGUCAGACAAGAUUUUAUUGCAUCGGCGGGCUCCCAUUGAAAAUACAUGAAAUUCUCUAUGUCGGACACCUCCCUAUCCCAGAAGUAGCACAGGGUUUUCCCUGUUAAAUCGAACGGAAGCCUCGCCCAAUCAUAUCAAUCAAUCUUUGCACCGAAAAGACCCAAAAUGAGCGUGUGCCCUAGAUUUUCACCUUUUUUUUCUUUCCUAUACUGGUCUCAGCAUUUUGUUGUUUUAGUUUUUGGUGUCCAAAAAGGGAUACUGUCAGUCUACAUUCUAACUAUUCUUUAGUAGUGCGAGCACUUGUCUUGGGUUUGUCUAGAGCCUUUGCACGUGCAAUGCACUAAUCAAAAGUGAGCUGACAUUUCAGAGACAAGUCUUUGAGCUUCGUUCCAAGUGGGUUUAGACUCUCAAGCAAGUUACACGCUGCUCGAAAAGCUCCAAAGGUAAUGCCAUUGAGUGCAAUACGCCUGGAAUUGAAUCUACCAAAAUUAGCAAUAAUUAUCAAUGAAGAGUGGGUAGAGAGGUACCAGGUACCACUAACGACCGUAAAUUGAAGAAGGGGGACAUUUCUGGCAACACAGCGGUGGUCUUUUCCAUUUUUUGUUUCCCUCGUAUUCUGUAACUCGGACACCUCUCUAAGUAGGACACAAUUCGGCUGCACCACGGGUGUCCAGGAUAGGGAGGUUUCACUGUAUAUUAGGAAAAGAACAGGGACGGAGCCUUGUGGCACACCGGAGCAAACAGGAGGUAACGAGGACGCGUAGCUAUUAGCGCUGACAAAGUGGGAAUGAUUAUAAAGAAAGUGUUCAAUUCACGCUACAAGAUUGAGAUCUACAUUUAGGUUACUGAGUUUUAGAAGUAAGAGUUUGUGACAUACCUUGUCAAAGGCUUUUAAGAAGUCAAGCCUUCAAGCCAUCUGCAUAUGAGCAACGGCCCAGAAUCAGGUGCAGAACACAUGUUGUACGUGAGAAAAAAAAAGAGAAAAAGAGUUUGCUUCAGGGAAACUGGCUAGAUGUGAAUAAAGUAUGUGUUCAAGUAUUUUGCAGGGAACGCUAGUAAGCGAUAUGGGUCUGUAAUUGUUGGGUGAAUCUUUGUUACCAGAUUUGUCAACUGGGACCACAUUUCCCGUCUUCCAGUCCUCAGGAACUGUGUGAGUGUCGAGUGAUUGCUGGAAGAGGUUUCCAGAAUAAUUGAGGAGUGCAAAGUGGUGCUUUUCAAGAACUUUGAAGUGAUAAGAUCAGCGCCAAGGCUUGAUGACAGCUUCAGUGAUUCAAUUAUAUUAAUUACGCCAGUGAGCUUGAUUUGUAUGGGACCCAUUGGAAAGUAGAUCCGAGGCUACAUAACUGGAAGUGGCGAGUUAGCGGUGGUGAUGAAAUUGUUACAAAAAUACAAAAACAGAAUUCAGCACAAAUGGACAGUCACUGUCGGGUACUGUUGACCCAUCAAGUGAGGCUCAAGCUGUAAAGAACACCUGCACUAUAUCAGCUCCAGCAGAAAAGGAACAACAAUUGUUUGUGUACAUAUACACAAACGGUAUAUCCCUAAAGCUGUUGACUUAGGAUCUGCUUUCUGGUUCGCAAAAUCGUUGCUGUCAUCAAUAAAAACUAAUUUCUAGUA